GUGUCAGCAGCCGCGGUAAUACGAACUGUGCGAACGUUAUUCGGAAUCACUGGGCUUAAAGGGUGCGUAGGCGGCGCUGUAAGUCAGGUGUGAAAUCCCCCGGCUCAACCGGGGAAUGGCGCUUGAAACUGCAGUGCUUGAGUGAGGUAGGGGUGCAUGGAACUUCCGGUGGAGCGGUGAAAUGUGUAGAUAUCGGAAGGAACGCCGGCGGCGAAAGCGGUGCACUGGGCCUUGUCUGACGCUGAGGCACGAAAGCUAGGGUAGCGAACGGGAUUAGAUACCCCGGUAGUCCUAGCCGUAAACACUGAGCACUGGAGCGGAGGGGUUUCGGCCUUUCCGCUCGCAGCGAAAGCGUUAAGUGCUCCGCCUGGGGAGUAUGGUCGCAAGGCUGAA
rnacentral:rRNA from 1 species